rnacentral:rRNA from 1 species
ACGCUCGACACCUACGGGAGGUAGCAGUGGGGAAUAUUGCACAAUGGGGGAAACCCUGAUGCAGCGACGCCGCGUGGAGGAAGAAGGUCUUCGGAUUGUAAACUCCUGUUGUUGGGGAAAAAGAGGAUGGUACCCAACAAGGAAGUGACGGCUAACUACGUGCCAGCAGCCGNGGUAAUCUGAGCGGGCUGGCAAGGC